rnacentral:siRNA from 1 species
UUGUAGGUGCAUAAUGAAGUU